UGGCGGAUUAUGCUUCAGUGGGGCCCUAGGCGCAAAUCAAGUUUGGGGCCCCUAAAUCCGAAAAUUUUCAAAAACGGUUAUUAGCCCAGUUAAAUUAAUAGUUUUAGCGUACGGGCACCGCAAAGUCUACUUCAACAUUCGUUUUUGAUUUUAGACCAUUACUUAAUGUUGCAUACAUUUCAUGUGGAUCUCUAAUAUUUUCUUCUUGUAUGUAUUUUAGAAAAUGAGUUAACUCAUCAGUGAAAUAUUCUGGCUCAAUAUCUUUUUCAUACUUAGACAAUAAUCGCUCUACACAAUUAUUAGUCUCAACACGGCUUAAUUUUAAAUCAAAGAAAAUUUUAAAAUCGUUAAGAACAUUGAUAUAGACAUCGCCCCUUCGAGUAAUUUCUGAUUUUAAUACAUCACAUACAAUAUAAAAAAUGUUGACAAUAAAAAAAUUUCUUGACGAAAA